UACGUAGGGUGCGAGCGUUGUCCGGAAUUACUGGGCGUAAAGAGCUCGUAGGUGGUUUGUCGCGUUGUUCGUGAAAACUCACAGCUCAACUGUGGGCGUGCGGGCGAUACGGGCAGACUGGAGUACUGCAGGGGGAGACUGGAAUUCCUGGUGUAGGCGGUGGAAUGCGCAGAUAUCAGGAGGAACACCGGUGGCGAAGGCGGGUCUCUGGGCAGUAACUGACGCUGGAGGAGCGGAAAGCGUGGGGGAGCAAACAGG
rnacentral:rRNA from 1 species